ensembl:misc_RNA Metazoa_SRP Metazoan signal recognition particle RNA
ACUGGGCGUGGUGGUGUGUGCCUGUAGUCCCAGGUACUCUCUGGGAGGCUGAGGUGGGAGGAUCACUUGAGCCCAGGAGGUCAAGGCCACAGUGAGCCAUGGUCGCGGCACUGUACUCUUGCCUGGGCAAUGGAGUGAGAUCCAAUCUCAA